AUACUCUGGCUUUUCUUCAGAGCGCAUAAAUCUUUCGUCUUUUACUAAAGAUUUUCAUGGAGAGGAGAUUUUAAUGAGCUUUUUGAGCCCUUGCUUUGGCAGGGC
rnacentral:snRNA from 1 species